UAGUCGUGACUGAGAGGUCGAUCGACCACAUUGGGUCUGAAAAAACCCCAAUGCGUAUUAGUACAGCAGUGAGGAAUAUUGGUCAAUGGUCUAACGACUGAACCAGUAACUUGGAAGAAUGUAAAUGUAUUAUAAUUAAUACAAUAA
rnacentral:rRNA from 1 species